GAUGAACGCUGGCGGCGUGCCUAAUACAUGCAAGUCGAGCGAACAGACGAGGAGCUUGCCCCUCUGACGUUAGCGGCGGACGGGUGAGUAACACGUGGAUAACCUACCUAUAAGACUGGGAUAACUUCGGGAAACCGGAGCUAAUACCGGAUAAUAUAUUGAACCGCAUGGUUCAAUAGUGAAAGACGGUUUUGCUGUCACUUAUAGAUGGAUCCGCGCCGCAUUAGCUAGUUGGUAAGGUAACGGCUUACCAAGGCAACGAUGCGUAGCCGACCGGAGAGGGUGAGCGGCCACACUGGAACGGAGACACGGCCCAGACUCCUACGGGAGGCAGCAGUAGGGAAUCUUCCGCAAUGGGCGAAAGCCUGACGGCGGAACGCCGCGUGAGGGAUGAAGGUCUUCGGAUCGUAAAACUCUGUUAUUAGGGAAGAACAAAUGUGUAAGUAACUAUGCACGUCUUGACGGUACCUAAUCAGAAAGGCACGGCUAACUACGUG
rnacentral:rRNA from 1 species